rnacentral:rRNA from 1 species
CUAUAAUGCAGUCGAGCGAUGGAUUAAGAGCUUGCUCUUAUGAAGUUAGCGGCGGACGGGUGAGUAACACGUGGGUAACCUGCCCAUAAGACUGGGAUAACUCCGGGAAACCGGGGCUAAUACCGGAUAACAUUUUGAACCGCAUGGUUCGAAAUUGAAAGGCGGCUUCGGCUGUCACUUAUGGAUGGACCCGCGUCGCAUUAGCUAGUUGGUGAGGUAACGGCUCACCAAGGCAACGAUGCGUAGCCGACCUGAGAGGGUGAUCGGCCACACUGGGACUGAGACACGGCCCAGACUCCUACGGGAGGCAGCAGUAGGGAAUCUUCCGCAAUGGACGAAAGUCUGACGGACCAGUGUCCUAUCGCGACCGAUGAAGGCUUUCGGGUCGUAAAAGUCUAUUGUUAGUGAAGAUCAAGUGCUAGUUGAAUAAGCUGGCACCUGACCGGUUACCUAACCAGAAAGACACGGCGGACUACGUGCCAGCAGCCGGGGUAGUACCGUAGGUGUCAAGCGUUAUCCUGAAAUAAUGGGCGUAAAGCGCGCGCAGGUGGUUUCUUAAGUCUGAAUGUGAAAGCCCCACGCCUCCAACCCGUGAAGGUCAUUGGAAACUGGGGAGACUUGAAGUGCCAGAAUGGGAAAGUGGAAAUUCCAUGUGUAGCGGUGAAAUGCGGUAAGAAUAUGGAGGAACCACCAGUGGCGAAGGUGACUUUUCUGGUCCUGUAAACUGACCAUGAGCGCGAAACCUGGGGACCAACCAGAUUAAGAUCCCUUGGUAUUCACGCGUUAACGAUGGGUGCUAGUGUAGAAGGGUUUCCGCCUUUAAUUCCUAAAUUUACCCCAUUAACCAUUCGCCUUGGGAAGUAGGGCGGCAAGCCUGAAACCCAAAGGAAUGGCGGGGGCCCCGCCCAACGGGGGGAGCAGGUGUUUUAUUUGGAAGCACGCCGAAGACCCUUCCAGGUUUUGGCCUUCUUCGGCCACCCUAGGGAUAAGGCUUUUUCUUUCGGAACCGGAGGGCCGGUGGGGCCAUGGUGUUCUCCAGCUCUUUUGGGGGGAGGUUGGGUUAAUUCCGCCACGAAGCCCACCCCUGGUUUUUGGUUCCCUCCAUUAAGUUGGCCAUUUAAAGGGGCCUCCCGGGGCCAACCGGGAGGAAGGGGGGGAGGAGGCCAAUUCUCCAUCCCCUUUAUGCCUUGGGUUCCCCCCGGGUUCCAAUGGCGGGUCCAAAGAGCGCCAGGCCCGGGGGGGGGAGUUAUUUUCAUAAACCCUUUUCCAUUUGGGAUGUUGGGUGCCAAUUGCCUUCCAGGAAGCGGGAAUCGUUGGUAUUCGGGGUUCACCAGGCCCCGGGGAAUCGGUUCCCGGCCUUGGUCCCCCCCCCCGGCCCCCCCCGGGGAUUUGGUACCCCCGGAAUUGGGGGGGUAAGGGGGGACCAGCCGCCUAAGGUGGACAGAUGAUUGGGGUGAAGUCGAACAA